ACACAAUUUUAAAUGAAGUAAUCAUUAAAAGAGUGUUUAUCUUUUACUCACUGUCAUACUUUGUUUUCUUUUGUACAGUUAUCUUAAAUGAAACAGAAAUAACCAUACAUUUUUACUGUGUAUUUUAAAAAAUGUAAAUUCAAAAGUUCUGUAAUUUUUCUUUUCUACGGAAGCGUAUUGUGACCAAAAUCACGAAAAUAUAGGGUUUAUUUUUCAAUGUUAAAUUUAACUUAUUUCAAAGAGUUGGCAUGUUUUAUGAAUGGUGGAAAUCAUAAUUAAAUCAAAUAAUGUUAACUUCAUGUGAACAAAACGUAUAUUGCAAUACCUAUUAAUGCAUUUCUAAGCAAAAUGUUUAUAUUUCAGCAUGUUACAUGAAUAUGGAAAGCGUAUCCAAACAGAGUGUUCUUUAUUACUUAAUCAAGAACAGUUGUUGCAUAAUUGGCUAGAAGAUGCAUCGAUGGGCACAUGACUUCUACACAAAGGGAGAUGGGACAGGAAGGGCUAAACAUAAAAUGAGACGGUUGAUUGCAGAAGACAAUAUUUAGCGAGAGAUAACAGCCUGAAGCCCUGCCUCAUACAUUUUGUCGAACAUAAAUCAAUCCGUUGUUUGGAUGUGGCAAGAGUUUUCCAUUUCCAAGUUGAGAGAGGCUAAAUGGGCUCUGUUUGAAAAGGUCAAGAAUUUUUUAAAAACACAUAAACAGGUAUAUCAAAGAAAAACAGUCAAUAUUUUUAACCUGGUUAAGGUUUGAUUUAAUGAUUA